rnacentral:lncRNA from 1 species
AACCACUGUGGAGGGCUAUCAAGUGCUUCUAGUCCCUCCCAGAUGCUUCCCAACCCUGGAGCAGCACCUCAGUAGAGCAGCGGAAGACCGCCUGUGGCCUCUGGGAAUUGCUGAUACCGAGCAGAGACAGUCCCUGACCAGAGACGUUUAGGAAUGUGAUGGGUCAGAAGUGGUUUCCAAAUGUUGAAAUUUUGACCAUUGAAUUGAGCUGACUUGGAUUCUCAAUGUUGGUCGACAGUCUGGUGGCAACAGGAGUGGCCUCCCUGCACUGGUGUCUUGGGAAGAAGGGUCCUUGGAGCCGAAGAUGAUUUUGGGGAGUGAAAGAGACCGCCUUUUCCUGGUAAUAGCAGAGCCAAAACUCCAGCCUUCAACCCACAGACCGGGGCCUGUCCCCAGGCAUCGCCACCCACCCCAUGGCCUCAUCGUCAUCUGUGACUUUUGCCUCCCUGCAUCUCAGUUUCCAUGCCUGUCAAGUGGAGAUAUAAUACCUCAUUCUGGGGAGAUACAAUGAAGCACUGCUGGUAAAAAGUACACGUGCUAUACAAAAUUAGGAAAUCCUUGUCACCAGACUUAGAGAAAAAUACAAAGUGGAGUUGACUCCCAGGUUGGAGACACAGCUUCCCAGACUCCCGUUUCACCUGAGGCACAGAAGCUUUCCUUUGUUCACCGUUGCCAGCAGUUAUUGGACUGUGGCUGGGAUUACCUGUCAGAAUUCACAGAGAUGGCAUCUCUCUAUAUUGCCCAGGCUGGUCU